CAGUCCCUUUCCUUCUUCCCUCCAAUUCUCCCAAGAACUUCCACAGGGUUCUAGAAUAGUCUGGAUUGUGUGGGUUAUAGCUCUGUGCAUGUGAAGCUUCCCCUUCAUAUCACAUCUCUGAAUGAAGGCUUUCAAAUAAAAAUUGAAAAAAAAAAAAAAAAAAAAAACCCUUCAAAAUAAAUUAUGUAUCACAAAUAAAAACAGAAAAAAGAAAAAAGUAUUGGAUAAAUGAAAGUGAGGUGAAGUUAUGAGAUGUGUAGAAAAAAAGAACAUGGAGUCUGGAGGCCAGUAUCACCUUUUCCUCACUGUGUGCCCACGGACACAAGUCCCAACUUCAGAGCCUGCUUCUUCUGAGUGAGGAGAUUUACACUUCUUUUGCAGGGCUGUGGAUAUAGCAGCCUGCAGAACUGUGCGAUGGGGUCCCUGCCUUCCCUGGAUGGUGGGGGCUUUAGACAGCCAGUCAGCUCCUUAGACCCAGCACAUCAGGAGAACAAACCUCAGGGCAAUACUGAAGGAGCUGCUCCCAAAGGGCAUGGCUGACAGAUUCCAAAAGGAGGUCUGAAAGCCUGCACUCUCUGCCUUCCCUGGCUCAGGGCAAGUCUGGAAGGAUCUCCACUCAGCAUCUUCUCCCAGUCUUAUCCAGGAGUGAGUAAUGCCCGGGCCCUCAGCACUGAGAAACCUCCUUCUCGCCCACCCCACCUCAUCUGGGCAAAGAAAAAGAGAGAGUGAGGCUCUGACACUGGAUCCCACAGAAGCUACAGUCCCCCUGCGGUGAGGCACAAAAGUGGCCUGGCAAAGAAAGGUGGG
rnacentral:lncRNA from 1 species